rnacentral:rRNA from 1 species
GACGAACGCUGGCGGCGUGCUUAACACAUGCAAGUCGAGCGGUAAGGCCCUUUCGGGGGUACACGAGCGGCGAACGGGUGAGUAACACGUGGGUGACCUGCCCUCAGCUCUGGGAUAAGCCUGGGAAACCGGGUCUAAUACUGGAUAUGACUCCAUGACGCAUGUUGUGGGGUGGAAAGCCUUGUGCGGCUGAGGAUGGGCCCGCGGCCUAUCAGGCUUGUUGGUGGGGUGANGGCCUACCAAGGCGACGACGGGUAGCCGGCCUGAGAGGGCGACCGGCCACACUGGGACUGAGACACGGCCCAGACUCCUACGGGAGGCAGCAGUGGGGAAUCUUGCGCAAUGGGCGAAAGCCUGACGCAGCGACGCCGCGUGAGGGAUGACGGCCUU